CAGAAACAAUAUGGCGGCGUCCGUACAACGUCUCACGUCUGCUGGGAGAUAUCUCCUUCAAAGACAUUUAUUAAAGAAAAAUUCUUUAAGUACGCUCUCAGUUGGACCUCACAGACUCUUGGCUACCCAGGCUGCUCACCAGGUGGCUCUUAAUGUUCCUGAAACCAAGGUGACCACUUUAGAGAACGGACUCCGGGUGGCUUCUGAGGACGCUGGACUUACCACCUGCACAGUGGGGCUCUGGAUAGAUGCCGGCAGUCGCUAUGAGAACGAGAGAAAUAAUGGCACAGCACACUUCCUGGAACACAUGGCAUUUAAGGGCACCAGGAAACGGUCCCAGCUCGAUCUGGAGCUGGAGAUUGAGAACAUGGGGGCUCACCUGAAUGCCUACACGUCCCGGGAGCAAACUGUGUAUUAUGCCAAAGCUUUCUCUAAGGAUCUGCCACGAGCUGUGGAGAUCCUGGCUGACAUCAUCCAGAACAGUACGCUGGGUGAGGCGGAGAUCGAGAGGGAGCGAGGGGUCAUCCUCAGAGAGAUGCAGGAAGUGGAGACCAAUCUACAGGAAGUGGUCUUUGACUACCUGCAUGCUACAGCGUAUCAGUCCACAGCUUUGGGCCGGACCAUCCUGGGCCCCACCGAGAACAUCAAGACCAUCAACAGAGGAGACCUGGUUGAAUAUAUCACCACUCACUACAAAGGCCCCAGAAUAGUGCUGGCUGCUGCUGGAGGAGUUUCACAUGAUGAGCUCAUCGAUUUGGCCAAGUAUCACUUUGGAAAACUUCCUGGCAGGUAUCAAGGUGAAGCACCUGCGCUUCCCCUCUGCCUCUUCACAGGAAGUGAGAUCCGCGUGCGUGACGACAAGAUGCCCCUGGCUCACAUCGCCAUCGCUGUGGAGGCAGUUGGAUGGUCUCACCCUGACACCAUCCCCCUCAUGGUGGCAAACACGCUCAUUGGAAACUGGGACCGCUCGUUCGGUGGAGGCGUGAACCUGUCCAGUAAACUGGCUCAGAUGGCCUGUCAGGGAAACCUGUGCCACAGCUUCCAGUCCUUCAACACUUGCUACACGGACACAGGCCUGUGGGGGCUCUACAUGGUGUGCGAGCCCGGCACCAUCAAGGACAUGAUGCACUUCACUCAGAUGGAGUGGAUGUCUCUUUGUACGAGUGUGACGGAGAGCGAGGUGGCUCGGGCAAAGAAUCUGCUCAAGACCAACAUGCUCCUGCAUCUGGAUGGAUCCACCCCCAUCUGUGAGGACAUUGGCAGACAGAUGUUGUGCUACAGCCGCAGGAUCCCUCUGCAUGAGCUGGAGGCCAGAAUUGAUGCCAUCGACGCCAAGACCAUUAAGGACGUGUGCACCAAAUACAUCUACAACAAGGCUCCUGCCAUCGCAGCAGUUGGUCCGAUUGAGCAGCUGCCAGACUACAACCAGAUCCGCAGUGGGAUGUUCUGGAUGAGAACCUGAGCACAGAUUACCUGUUACCUGUACAGAAGAUAAACAGAAACACACUUUCUUGGCUUUAACCAUCUCCACCAGUUCCUGCCAGAGACACAGGGAAGAAGUCUUUCUUGCUUCGUCCGGGGACAGCGGCGGCGAUCUUCUCCCACCGCUCAGGUGUGCUGACUGGGUAGGUCUUCAGGGCCUGUUCCAGAAGU